rnacentral:rRNA from 1 species
CCUACGGGGGGCUGCAGUCGAGAAUCUUGGGCAAUGCACGAAAGUGUGACCCAGCGACGCCGCGUGAAGGAUGAAGGCCCUCAGGGUCGUAAACUUCUUUUACGGGAGAAGAAUCAAUGACGGUAUCCCGUGAAUAAGCCACGGCUAACUACGUGCCAGCAGCCGCGGUAAUACGUAGGUGGCAAGCGUUGUCCGGAUUUACUGGGCGUAAAGGGCAGGCAGGCGGAUGGUUAAGUAGGAAGUGAAAGGUUGGUGCUCAACACUAACACUGCUUC